rnacentral:rRNA from 1 species
GACGAACGCUGGCGGCGUGCUUAACACAUGCAAGUCGAACGGUGAACCGGGCUUCGGCCCGGGGAUCAGUGGCGAACGGGUGCGUAACACGUGGGCAACCUGCCCCAGACACUGGGAUAACCCCGGGAAACCGGGGCUAAUACCGGAUACUCCGCUCGGACCGCAUGGUCCGAUCGGGAAAGCUCCGACGGUCUGGGAUGGGCCCGCGGCCUAUCAGCUCGUUGGUGGGGUAACGGCCUACCAAGGCGACGACGGGUAGCUGGUCUGAGAGGACGACCAGCCACACUGGAACUGAGAUACGGUCCAGACUCCUACGGGAGGCAGCAGUGGGGAAUCUUGCACAAUGGGCGAAAGCCUGAUGCAGCGACGCCGCGUGGGGGACGAAGGCCCUCGGGUUGUAAACCCCUUUCGGCAGGGAAGAAGCGCAAGUGACGGUACCUGCAGAAGAAGCUCCGGCUAACUACGUGCCAGCAGCCGCAGUAAGAC